rnacentral:rRNA from 1 species
AUUGAACGCUGGCGGCAUGCCUUACACAUGCAAGUCGAACGGUAACAGGUCUUCGGAUGCCGACGAGUGGCGAACGGGUGAGUAAUACAUCGGAACGUGCCUAGUAGUGGGGGAUAACUACUCGAAAGAGUGGCUAAUACCGCAUGAGAUCUACGGAUGAAAGCAGGGGAUCGCAAGACCUUGUGCUACUAGAGCGGCCGAUGGCAGAUUAGGUAGUUGGUGGGAUAAAAGCUUACCAAGCCGACGAUCUGUAGCUGGUCUGAGAGGACGAUCAGCCACACUGGGACUGAGACACGGCCCAGACUCGUGCGGGAGGCAGCAGUGGGGAAUUUUGGACAAUGGGCGGAAGCCUGAUCCAGCAAUGCCGCGUGCAGGAUGAAGGCCUUCGGGUUGUAAACUGCUUUUGUACGGAACGAAAAGCCCCGGGUUAAUACCCUGGGGUCAUGACGGUACCGUAAGAAUAAGCACCGGCUAACUACGUGCCAGCCGCCGCCGUAA